CUGGAAUAAACACUACGUUAGUGUUUGUUAGACGAUGACCACUUGGCGACCAUCCUUUGUCUUGGCAUUCGUCAGAUUAUCCAUCUUCAGGUUCGUCCGACUGACGACAUCGUCUUGCGGAGAUGUCCACUCUCUCAUUAUUCUGGGGUCGACUUGGGUCGUCUUCCGCAUCACGUGAUUAAUUAUCGUAUCUAAAUGAAAUGUAUAAUGCACAUGUAUGAAUAUAAGAAGAACUAGCACAAUACUAGACGAUACGAUUAAAUCAACAUGUAUCGCCUUCGCUAAAAAUACGAGAAUCAUCGUAACCUACAUACCUAUCGAUCCAUUCAUUAAAACAAAAUUAUAAAAAUAGAGAAUUAGCUCACCAUAAUCAACUCGGCUCGAUCAUCGCACGAACGAUGAAGACGACCGGUAUCGGCGAGCGCGAGAGCAGUGCCCAGGCCAGAGAUAUGUAGCCCGACGACCUGGUAGUAGCUUCAACGGGAGAGUAGGAGGAAGAACUCACCGCCACAUGCAAGCAAAUCGACGUCAGGGAGCUAGGACGCGGG
rnacentral:lncRNA from 1 species